rnacentral:rRNA from 1 species
GCAAGUCGAGGGGCAGCAUCAUUAAAGCUUGCUUUGAUGGAUGGCGACCGGCGCACGGGUGAGUAACACGUAUCCAACCUGCCGACAACACUGGGAUAGCCUUUCGAAAGAAAGAUUAAUACCAGAUGGCAUAGUUUUCCCGCAUGGGAUAAUUAUUAAAGAAUUUCGGUUGUCGAUGGGGAUGCGUUCCAUUAGGCAGUUGGCGGGGUAACGGCCCACCAAACCAACGAUGGAUAGGGGUUCUGAGAGGAAGGUCCCCCACAUUGGAACUGAGACACGGUCCAAACUCCUACGGGAGGCAGCAGUGAGGAAUAUUGGUCAAUGGACGAGAGUCUGAACCAGCCAAGUAGCGUGAAGGAUGACUGCCCUAUGGGUUGUAAACUUCUUUUAUACGGGAAUAAAGUGAGCCACGUGUGGCUUUUUGUAUGUACCGUAUGAAUAAGGAUCGGCUAACUCCGUGCCAGCAGCCGCGGUAAUACGGAGGAUCCGAGCGUUAUCCGGAUUUAUUGGGUUUAAAGGGAGCGUAGGCGGGUUGUUAAGUCAGUUGUGAAAGUUUGCGGCUCAACCGUAAAAUUGCAGUUGAUACUGGCGACCUUGAGUGCAACAGAGGUAGGCGGAAUUCGUGGUGUAGCGGUGAAAUGCUUAGAUAUCACGAAGAACUCCGAUUGCGAAGGCAGCUUACUGGAUUGUAACUGACGCUGAUGCUCGAAAGUGUGGGUAUCAAACAGGAUUAGAUACCCUGGUAGUCCACACAGUAAACGAUGAAUACUCGCUGUUGGCGAUAUACGGUCAGCGGCCAAGCGAAAGCAUUAAGUAUUCCACCUGGGGAGUACGCCGGCAACGGUGAAACUCAAAGGAAUUGACGGGGGCCCGCACAAGCGGAGGAACAUGUGGUUUAAUUCGAUGAUACGCGAGGAACCUUACCCGGGCUUGAAAGUUAGCGACGAUU